GCAUCGGUGGUUCAGUGGUAGAAUUCUCGCAUGCCACGCGGGAGGCCCGGGUUCGAUUCCCGGCCGAUAGGGAAGGCA
rnacentral:tRNA from 1 species